AUUGAACGCUGGCGGCAGGCCUAACACAUGCAAGUCGAGCGGGUGAAGGGAGCUUGCUCCUGGAUGCAGCGGCGGACGGGGGAGUAAUGCCUAUGAAUCUGCCUUGUAGUGGGGGAUAACGUCCGGAAACGGGCGCUAAUACCGCAUACGUCCUGAUGGAGAAAGUGGGGGGGCUUAGGACUUCUCGCUUUCGGAUUAGGCUAGGUGGGAUUAGAUAGUUGGUGGGGUAAAGGCCGAACAAGGCGACGAUCCGUAACUGGUCUGAGAGGAUGAUCAGCCACACGGGGACUGAGACACGGCCCAGACUCCGACGGGAGGCAGCAGUGUGGAAUAUUGGACAAUGGGCGAAAGCCUGAUCCAGCAAUGCCGCGUGAGUGAUGAAGGCCUUAGGGUUGUAAAGCUCUGUUACCCGGGAUGAUAAGGACAGUACCGAGAGAAUAAGCUCCGGCUAACUCCGUG
rnacentral:rRNA from 1 species